rnacentral:tRNA from 1 species
UGCGGGGUCGUCUAAUGGUAGGACUCCACCCUUUGAAGGUGGCUACGAAGGUCCGAAUCCUUCCCCCGCAG